AUUUACUUUAAAUUUAAAGAAUUUGGCGGUAAUUUAGUCUGGUCAGAGGAACCUGUUCAAUAAUCGAUAAGCCCCGCAGUAUCUUACUUAUUUUAAAAAUUAUUAGUUUGUAUACCGUCAUUGUCAGAUAAUUUUAUUAAAGAAUUAAUUGUUAAAAUUAAUAUUAUUAUAGAAAUUAGAUCAAGGUGCAGCUUAUAAAUAAGUUGAAAUGGGUUACAAUAAAUUUUUAUUUAGAACGGAAUUAGUUUUGAAAAUAUUUAUAAAGGAGGAUUUGAUUGUAAUGUGGAUUUAAUAAGUUUGCAAGAUAUAAGCUCUAAAUUAUGUACACAUC
rnacentral:rRNA from 1 species